GAGUGCGAUCAUACAAGCACUAAUGCACCGGAUCCCAUCUGAACUUCGCAGUUAAGCAUGCUUGAGCGAGAAUAGCUAAGAUGGGUGACUUCCUAGGAAGUCCUCAUGUUGCACCCC
rnacentral:rRNA from 1 species